rnacentral:rRNA from 1 species
CAGCAGCCACGGGAAUACGUAGGGUGCAAGCGUUAAUCGGAAUUACUGGGCGUAAAGCGUGCGCAGGCGGUUUUAUAAGACUGAUGUGAAAUCCCGGGGCUCAACCUGGGAACUGCAUUGGAGACUGUAAGGCUAGAGUGUGUCAGAGGGGGGUAGAAUUCCACGUGUAGCAGUGAAAUGCGUAGAUAUGUGGAGGAAUACCGAUGGCGAAGGCAGCCCCCUGGGAUAACACUGACGCUCAUGCACGAAAGCGUGGGGAGCAAACAGGAUUAGAUACCCCAGUAGUCCCUGUCUCUUAUAC